AUUGAACGCUGGCGGCAGGCCUAACACAUGCAAGUCGAACGAGUGGCGGACGGGUGAGUAAUGUCUGGGAAACUGCCUGAUGGAGGGGGAUAACUACUGGAAACGGUAGCUAAUACCGCAUACCAUCAGAUCUGCCCCGAUGGGAUUAGCUUGUUGGUGGGGUAACGGCUCACCAAGGCGACGAGCCCUAGCUGGGCCGAGAGGAUGACCAGCCACACGUGAACGUAGACACGGUCCAGACUCCUACGGUAGGCAGCAGUGGGGAAUAUUGGACAAUGGGGGCGACCCUGAUCGUGCCAUGCCGCGUGUAUGAAGAGGGCCGUCGGGUUGUAAAGUACUUUAGUUAGGGAAGCGGUACCUAAAGAAUAAGCACCGGCUAACUACGUGCCAGCAGCCGCGGUAAUAC
rnacentral:rRNA from 1 species